rnacentral:rRNA from 1 species
AACGAACGCUGGCGGCAUGCCUAACACAUGCAAGUCGAACGAGACCUUCGGGUCUAGUGGCGCACGGGUGCGUAACGCGUGGGAACCUGCCCUUAGGUUCGGAAUAACUCCCCGAAAGGGGUGCUAAUACCGGAUAAUGUCUUCGGACCAAAGAUUUAUCGCCUUUGGAUGGGCCCGCGUUGGAUUAGCUAGUUGGUAGGGUAAAAGCCUACCAAGGCGACGAUCCAUAGCUGGUCUGAGAGGAUGAUCAGCCACACUGGGACUGAGACACGGCCCAGACCCCUACGGGGGGAAGGAGUGGGGAAUAUUGGAAAAUGGGCAAAAGCCUGAUCCAGCAAGGCCGGGUGGGUGAGGAAGGCCUUGGGGUUGUAAAGCUCUUUUACCCGGGAUGAAAAUGAAAGGACCGGGAGAAUAAGCCCCGGCUAACUCCGU